CAUUAAUUAGAUAUGAGUGUCUGGAUGGGUCCAAAAAAUAAACCGAAUAUAGAAAAAUAAAUUUAAAAUAUUAUGAGGUUCUUAAAUAUAUAAUGAACAUUUCUAAAGAACAGAAAAAAUAGGCUUAAAAAUUAAAAAUACGGCAUUGAUGAACGCCCCAUCCAGGCCCUCAUAUGACCCCUUCAACAAAUAGAGGAUCAUGCAUCUUACAGGCGG
rnacentral:lncRNA from 1 species